GGGUUUUGAGAUAGAGGAAUAUUUGUGCAGAUCAUCUUUGGAACUAGGUUCCUGCUGAUCUUUGUAUCACUCCAAUUUUAUUGGAUAUCUGUGAAGGAACAAAAUACUGAUGAGAGCGAUGCCAGAAUAUCACUUAGUGAAAAAACAAACCGAGUUACUAAGUAUUAAACAUCACACCAAAAUAAAUGCUAAAAAAAGCAGAGUUACUAAGUAUUAGAAAUCACACUAAAAUAAAUGCUAAAAAAAAC
rnacentral:lncRNA from 1 species